rnacentral:piRNA from 1 species
UCUAAAAGGUUAAAAAUCUUGUAGAGUUC